rnacentral:tRNA from 1 species
GCGCUCGUAGCUCAAUUGGAUAGAGUGGCUGGCUUCGAACCAGCAGGUUCCAGGUUCGAGUCCUGGCGGGCGCA